rnacentral:lncRNA from 1 species
AAAAAUAAAAAAAUCAAAAAAAUUUGAGUUGGAAUUUUUUUUUUCUUCCUUGUAUUUAGUUUACUAUUGUAUUGGAUUUAAAAAAUAAAAGAGAAGAAAUUCAGGAAAAAAAAUUCAAAAAAAAUCAAAAAAAGGAAAAAAAAAGUGACAAAAAAUUGAGUUAAAAAAAAAGAAGAAAAAAAAGUGAAAAGUCUUGUGAGUUUUAUUUUGUUAUUAUUUCUUGUUGCUUCUGAGCAUCCAUUCAUUCUACCAUUCCCUCUACCCCCCCAAAACGCCACACAUACUUUGAUUUUUGUUUUCCUUGUUUCAGCCUACCCUAUACACCCUAACGUUAUCCUUUGCACCCAUUUGAAGCCA